rnacentral:rRNA from 1 species
GAUGAACGCUGGCGGCGUGCCUAAUACAUGCAAGUCGAGCGAACAGACGAGGAGCUUGCUCUUCUGAUGUUAGCGGCGGACGGGUGAGUAACACGUGGAUAACCUACCUAUAAGACUGGGAUAACUUCGGGAAACCGGAGCUAAUACCGGAUAAUAUUUUGAACCGCAUGGUUCAAUAGUGAAAGACGGUCUUGCUGUCACUUAUAGAUGGAUCCGCGCUGCAUUAGCUAGUUGGUAAGGUAACGGCUUACCAAGGCAACGAUGCAUAGCCGACCUGAGAGGGUGAUCGGCCACACUGGAACUGAGACACGGUCCAGACUCCUACGGGAGGCAGCAGUAGGGAAUCUUCCGCAAUGGGCGAAAGCUUGACGGAGCAACGCCGCGUGAGUGAUGAAGGUCUUCGGAUCGUAAAACUCUGUUAUUAGGGAAGAACAAAUGUGUAAGUAACUGUGCACGUCUUGACGGUACCUAAUCAGAAAGCCACGGCUAACUACGUG